rnacentral:tRNA from 1 species
GGUACUAUAAUAAGCUUUUUGAUAGAAAGUUUUAGUUACUUAGUAACUAGUACCG